CUACCUUCCAGAGCCCAUAUCAAUGCCUGGGUCAGAGCUCUGGGGAGGAACUGCUCAGUUAGGACCCAGAGGGAACCAUGGAAGCCCCAGCACAGCUUCUCUUCCUCCUGCUACUCUGGCUCCCAGAUACCACCGGAGAAACAGUGGUGACGCAGUCUCCAGCCACCCUGUCUUUGUCUCCAGGGGAAAGAGCCACUGUCUCCUGCAGGACCAGUCAGAGUGUCAGCAACAGGUUAGCCUGGUACCAGCAGAAACCUGGGCAGGCUCCCAGGCUCCUCAUCUAUGGUGCAUCCAGCAGGGCCACUGGCAUCCCAGCCAGGUUCAGUGGCAGCGGGUCUGGGACAGAGUUCACUCUCACCAUCAGCAGCCUGGAGCUUGAAGAUGCUGCAGUUUAUUACUGUCAGCAGGAUAAUGACUGGAAACCACAGUGAUUGAACAUGAAACAAAAACCUCAACAAGACCAUCAGUGUUUACUGAUUAUACCAGCUGCUUCCGUCACAGAGAGCAACUGUGGUGGCCACUGAGUUUUAGCAUCUCUGCUCUAAUUGGACAUUUUGUGGUUUAGCGCACACACACACACACACAACUCCUUGAAUAAUUUGGACUCUGAUUCUUGGACUCUCUUCACCUGAGGCCCCAGAAUCU